rnacentral:rRNA from 1 species
UACGGAGGGAGCUAGCGUUGUUCGGAAUUACUGGGCGUAAAGCGCGCGUAGGCGGCUUUGUAAGUUAGAGGUGAAAGCCCGGGGCUCAACCCCGGAACUGCCUUUAAGACUGCAUCGCUUGAAUCCGGGAGAGGUGAGUGGAAUUCCGAGUGUAGAGGUGAAAUUCGUAGAUAUUCGGAAGAACACCAGUGGCGAAGGCGGCUCACUGGACCGGCAUUGACGCUGAGGCGCGAAAGCUAGGGGAGCAAACGGG